CUGUCGCGAAGCAGUUGCUGUGUGCGGGUGUGCGCCUUAGAGAUAAAUUUAUUACAAGGGAAGAACCUGAGAGGUUGGCCAGAGCCAGUGUGCAGUUUGUUGCAGGUAUCUUCUAGCUGCAGGCAUGGAGCAACAAACGGCAAGGGAGGCAAACCGAAUUGUUAAAAAUAGUCGAAACACCUGAAUUAUGCGUUCCAUGUGAAGUUAUGGCAGCUGCAACGCCUUGAUGGGCGUGGAGAGCUGAAAUACCCCUGCACCGAGCUAUCCCUGCACGUUCGGCCUGGAGCCUUCAGUGGCCGUACCCAUCAAACACAGGGCAAGCGUGCAUCAUGAUCAGACUGGCUCAAGGCGGUGAGUGUUCUUAAUUGAAGUGAAAGGUGUGGCUUAAACAGACACUCUGAUAUUUUACCUCCCAGACAGCAAAUGAUGCCGCCUGUGAGACCAUUCCAUUGUAACAGUACAUUGUACUUUUUUAUUUUGCUGUAUAAAGUUUGUUACUGUUGUCAA